UGCAGUGGCUACUGAGUGAGUGAUGU
rnacentral:piRNA from 1 species